CAGCCGCCGCGGUAAUACGAAGGGUGCAAGCGUUAAUCGGAAUUACUGGGCGUAAAGCGCGCGUAGGUGGUUUGGUAAGAUGGAUGUGAAAUCCCCGGGCUCAACCUGGGAACUGCAUCCAUAACUGCCUGACUAGAGUACGGUAGAGGGUGGUGGAAUUUCCUGUGUAGCGGUGAAAUGCGUAGAUAUAGGAAGGAACACCAGUGGCGAAGGCGACCACCUGGACUGAUACUGACACUGAGGUGCGAAAGCGUGGGGAGCAAACAGGAUUAGAUACCCGGGUAGUCCCUGUCUCUUAUAC
rnacentral:rRNA from 1 species